CGAACGGGUGAGUAAUAUAUCGGAACGUGCCCAGUAGUGGGGGAUAACUGCUCGAAAGAGCAGCUAAUACCGCAUACGACCUGAGGGUGAAAGGGGGGGAUCGCAAGACCUCUCGCUAUUGGAGCGGCCGAUAUCAGAUUAGCUAGUUGGUGGGGUAAAGGCCUACCAAGGCAACGAUCUGUAGUUGGUCUGAGAGGACGACCAGCCACACUGGGACUGAGACACGGCCCAG
rnacentral:rRNA from 1 species